CUAGCGGCAGGCCUAACACAUGCAAGUCGAGGGGUAGAACACUUCGGUGUUUGAGACCGGCGCACGGGUGCGUAACGCGUAUGCAAUCUACCUUGUACAGGGGAAUAGCCCAGAGAAAUUUGGAUUAAUGCCCCAUAGUAUAUAACCUUCGCAUGUUGGUUAUAUUAAAGUUUAGGCGGUACAAGAUGAGCAUGCGUCCCAUUAGUUAGUUGGUAAGGUAACGGCUUACCAAGACGAUGAUGGGUAGGGGGUCCUGAGAGGAUGAUCCGCCACACUGGGACUGAGACACGGACCAGACUCCUACGGGAGGCAGCAGUGAGGAAUAUUGGUCAAUGGGCGCAAGCCUGAACCAGCCAUGCCGCGUGUAGGAAGAAGCAUCUAUGGUGUGUAAACUGCUUUUAUACAGGAAGAAACAACUCUACGUGUAGAGUCUUGACGGUACUGUAAGAAUAAGGACCGGCUAACUCCGUG
rnacentral:rRNA from 1 species